UACGAGGGGGGCUAGUGUUGUUCGGAAUCACUGGGCGUAAAGGGUGCGUAGGCGGGUCUUUAAGUCAGGGGUGAAAUCCUGGAGCUCAACUCCAGAACUGCCUUUGAUACUGAAGAUCUUGAGUUCGGGAGAGGUGAGUGGAACUGCGAGUGUAGAGGUGAAAUUCGUAGAUAUUCGCAAGAACACCAGUGGCGAAGGCGGCUCACUGGCCCGAUACUGACGCUGAGGCACGAAAGCGUGGGGAGCAAACAGG
rnacentral:rRNA from 1 species